rnacentral:rRNA from 1 species
AUUGAACGCUGGCGGCAGGCCUAACACAUGCAAGUCGAGCGGAUGAAGGGAGCUUGCUCCUGGAUUCAGCGGCGGACGGGUGAGUAAUGCCUAGGAAUCUGCCUGGUAGUGGGGGAUAACGUCCAGAAACGGGCGCUAAUACCGCAUACGUCCUGAGGGAGAAAGUGGGGGAUCUUCGGACCUCACGCUAUCAGAUGAGCCUAGGUCGGAUUAGCUAGUUGGUGGGGUAAAGGCCUACCAAGGCGACGAUCCGUAACUGGUCUGAGAGGAUGAUCAGUCACACUGGAACUGAGACACGGUCCAGACUCCUACGGGAGGCAGCAGUGGGGAAUAUUGGACAAUGGGCGAAAGCCUGAUCCAGCCAUGCCGCGUGUGUGAAGAAGGUCUUCGGAUUGGAAAGCACUUUAAGUUGGGAGGAAGGGCAGUAAGUUAAUACCUUGCUGUUUUGACGUUACCAACAGAAUAAGCACCGGCUAACUUCGUGC